rnacentral:rRNA from 1 species
CCACUCGGAAGAUAUAUCGGAUGAUCUGAAUAUUCACGACAUUCUUGAGACUGCUGUAGAAGCAAUCUGUAUCAGUGAGAAGAAUAAUGAUCGAGUUGGUG